rnacentral:lncRNA from 1 species
UUUUGCUUCUGAAAUGAGCAUACCUGCAUGCCUUCUCUGGUAAUGUUAUACUCUAUUACAGUCUUACUGGUAAUAAAUUUUAUUCUAUCUUCAUUUUGGUCUUUGUCUUCUGACAUUUCCUAAUGUAUUUCAGAAUUUCUUUGAAAUUAUUUGUACAUCUUCCAAAUUGUCUUCACUUCUGGCUGCUUGGAGCUGAUCACGCAGGUCCAGAUGGCAUCAUUUCAUCUCAUGCUCUGAAAGUGACAAGUGACACUGUGGCACUGACUCUAUUGCAUUAGCCUGUGCUGGCUGUGCUGAAUUUAUAAAACAUGUAGGAACUUUCUUUGGCUCUGCCUCACACAAGAGAAAUAAGAAAACACAAGAAAACUAAUGUAAGACUUGAGAUACUCCUAAUGUAACUACUUUGAGUGUGAAGGCAGUGUUAGUUCACUGAUCACCAUGUAGUAGCAGUAAAAACUGUUGUUGUUGUUCUGUGUUUAUUUUCUCCCUCCUAGCAUGCCAGGGAACACAGAGGCCUAUGGCUGACUCACUGGCUGAUGUUGUCAUAUUGGCAUACAGUCGGUAAAAUGCUGCCAGUUCUGUCUUACUGCGUAGGAUCUGUUUGCCCGGAGCUUUUAAAUCCUUUCCAGAGCUGACAAUUUUAGUGGAAAGGUAACCAUCCCAAAACACUUGACUUUAAAACUGUGAAGCACAAAUUAUUUAAUCUCUCGACAAAGUGAAAAAUAUUCCAAAAACCCAGUACAGAAGGUUUAUUCUUCUUGGUUUUUUUAGAGUUUUUUUUCCCCUCUUAUGAUAGGCACUCAAUUUUGUUGAAGAGAAAAAAUAUGCUGUGAAGGACCUUCCAACACGCCCACGCUCUAACCAUGCACACUUUAUUUCUUUUCCAUCGGUAUUUCUAGAUGUGUGAGACAUGGGCAGUGUGGUACAGGUUGUAAGGAGAGAAAGCAACAUUAGGACUUGCAAUAGAUGGUUGAUUUAGAUGUGGUUUGAUGGUGAUGAAACAAAUCUGCACCAAUUGACUAGGACCUCAAAAUAAAGCUCACAAAUGCACAAAUAUCA